AAAUAAAAUACAAAUUUUUCAUAAAAUAUGAGAAAAGUCUUUUCGUAAAAGUUUACUUUUCUUAGAACCAAACACAUGGAUGAAAUUCUUUUUUCUUGAAAAAUUUUCAUGAAAAACUUUUGUGAUAUACUGAACCUUAGCAAAUUGGCAAGAUUACAGUACAAAUUUAUGCUUGAUUGAGUUAGAGACGUUUUGCGCAAAAUAGACGUAAAAACGGACUUUAAAACUCAAAAUUUAUAUUGUGGAGGAUUAAAGUUGAAUACCUAGUUCUUUAGAGGCUUGUGGGUAAUUUUGUUUAAUUAGGUGGUAGAGUCCACGUGCUCUCCCCCAUCCUUAUCCUCUCCUUUUGUUGUUUUUAUUGCCAAGUUGUGAGCUAAUUAAUUAGUAGGAGAACUUGGUUUCAUUCUUGCGAGCGAGCGAGGCAAGCGAGCGAGGCGAGCGAGCGAGCGAGUCGAGUACGUGCGUUGUGUUAGCGCCGUUGGAGGCUGGGCGAGCGCGGAAUUUCUUCUCCUAUCGACUUUUCGCUGUCGUGGAUUAGCUUUUGAGGUGGGUUGAUGCUUACCGAAUUCUAUAGGUUUCCUCCUAAUUCUAUAUAUGUCAACUGCAUGUGUUUUUAGUUUUGUUUAGUAUAUUAUUUAGCUCGAUUUUUGAAAUUUCAUGCCUAUGAAUUUGAAUUGGAGCUUAGAAAAUUAGCUAAAUCAUGCAUGUUGAACUUGAAUUUGACUUAGGAGAAAAUUGACGUUUCUACACCGCCAUUUGAUCAAACUAUCAGAUUUAGCUCUAGGAGCUAUAGUUUGUUUGUAUCAUGGGCGGUGGAUAUCCAGAAUAGUGUAGAAUAUAUUUACGCUGGUGCUGAGAUGCCGAGUGUAUUUUUACAGUAGUAUUUAGGCUGUUCCACAUUGUCGGGUGCCAUUGAGGUUGACGGUGGACCCAGAUUAUUGUUUUUGUAUCAGAUUGUGCCGAGGGCACGUGAGUUCAGUUGUUUGGCCCUGUUUACUUGACUAUAGCCUGCGAGAGCCUGAUUGAGCUCGACAGAGACACGUUUGCAUACUCGGUUGGGUAGCACCCAUGAGUGCCACUCCGGAGUCGGGCUUUGUGCGUUUGCGUUAAGUUUCCGAGAAUCCUAAUUUUUU
rnacentral:lncRNA from 1 species